GGCUGUGUAGCUAGCCUUGGGUGACCUGAAACACCAUGUAGACCAGGCUGGCCUUGGACUUCCUAGAGUGCUGAGGCUAGCUUUCUUCUGUGACUUUAGCCUAUUGUCCCACUCCUUGAUAGAAAACCUCCGCAGUGCCCCUGCAGCACACUCAUGUAGACGUCUACUGCCUCUGCUUCCGCCUCAGCAUAGGCUCCUGGGAGUAAGAAUCUGUUUACUGUCACAUCCUAAGUGCCUCGAACCGUAUGAAUAAUGAAAGAGUUAAAACAUUUUAUUUGAGAAAAGAGGACACCCGAACCCUGCCAUUCUCACGGGAGAGUCAGCGGCAACGUCCAGAUCCGGUGGAAUUAACUCAUUUUGAGAAAAGAGGACACCCGAACACUGCCAUUCUCGAGGGAGAGGCGGCGACAACGUUCAGAUCCAGUGGAACCUGGACAUGAAAACGGACUGAGAUUAAAGGCUUGCACCUGGACUGGAGAGAUGGCUCAGCAGUUAAGAGCACUGACUGCUCUUCCAGAGGUCCUGAGUUCAAAUUCCAGCAACCACAUGGCUCACAACCAUUUAUAAUGGGAUCCGAUGCCUUCGUCUGGUGUGUCUGAAGACAGCGACAGUCUACUCAC
rnacentral:lncRNA from 1 species